rnacentral:misc_RNA from 1 species
GGAAGGAUCAUUAACGAACUGUCAAACACGGGUUGUUGCUGGCCCCCAAACGGGGCAUGUGCACACUCUGUUUACACAUCCACUCACACCUGUGCACCCUUUGUAGUUCUGUGGAUGGGGAGACGCCGUCUUCCUUCUGUGGCUCUACGUCUUUACACACACACCGUAGCAACGUCUCAUGGAAUGUUUUUUUUCGCGUUUAACGCAAUACAAUACAACUUUCAGCAACGGAUCUCUUGGCUCUCGCAUC